AUACCUUUAAUAUUUGUGUCCAAAAUAGAAACAUGGAAAAUCGUAGUCCAUCUAUAGCAUAAUUUUUUUUUGCUAAAAAAUGGCUCAUCCAAAAAUAUUUAUGUCUUAACCAAUAACAUUUAAGGCAUGCAAGUUGAUCCUGAAGAAUAUGCAAAAGUGACAGCCUACUUUUCAGAUAUUACAAUAUUGGCAGUUUUAACCUCUUUUCAGAAACUGCUGUCAGCAACACACACUCACAGAGAGGGGUCUGACAGGAUGAAAGGGUAAUACAGUUAUUCUCGGGUGCAACGGAUUCUAUUUCCCUAAAGUGGGCCUUCCGCCUCCAUUUUGCGACUCCGUGUGUUAGAUGCAGA